UACGUAGGGGGCAAGCGUUGUUCGGAUUUACUGGGCGUAAAGGGCGCGUAGGCGGCCACAACAAGUCACUUGUGAAAUCUCCGGGCUUAACCCGGUAGCGGCCAAGUGAUACUGUUGGGCUAGAGUGCGGAAGGGGCAACUGGAAUUCUCGGUGUAGCGGUGAAAUGCGUAGAUAUCGAGAGGAACACCUGCGGCGAAGGCGGGUUGCUGGGCCGACACUGACGCUGAGGCGCGAAAGCUAGGGGAGCGAACGGG
rnacentral:rRNA from 1 species